rnacentral:rRNA from 1 species
CAGUCGCCACGGUAAUACGUAGGGUGCGAGCGUUAAUCGGAAUUACUGGGCGUAAAGCGUGCGCAGGCGGUUGUGUAAGACAGGUGUGAAAUCCCCGGGCUUAACCUGGGAACUGCGCUUGUGACUGCACAGCUAGAGUAAGGCAGAGGGGGGUGGAAUUCCACGUGUAGCAGUGAAAUGCGUAGAGAUGUGGAGGAACACCGAUGGCGAAGGCAGCCCCCUGGGCCAAUACUGACGCUCAUGCACGAAAGCGUGGGGAGCGAACAGGAUUAGAUACCCCCGUAGUCCCUGUCUCUUAUAC